UACUAAAGAGACAAUUUUUUUGUCUAAAAAUGUCGAUCCCUCGUCAAAGGAGAUCGAGCCCCUUAGCAUUGCCCAUUCACUGCCCCACCUUUCAAUCCCCAAAUAAAUCUUCUUUUUCUCUCUGUGAAUUCCUCAAGCGCGCUCAACCUCCCCUCCCAAGUUCUUCAUCCAACUCUCACUGUUCUCUUCUUCUCUUCCGCGGCGCCAUGGUGUUCGCUCUUCACUGUUUGAGACUCGACCUUCGCUUCGUUUAAGUAGCGGCGCCCUUUGCUUCACCCUUUAUUUUUCAGACGUCGCGAGUAAUGAAAAAGGAAACUGGUUAUUCUCUGACGAUGGGUUGAGGUUCGCCCUUUGCGUCGCCUCUUUGGGUUAUUUUCCGGCGAUUUUGGCUGAGUUGGGUGCGAUUACAAGCUGGGUGGGGUUGCAGAUUUGGUAGGUUUCAGGUCUGAAAAAUAGCGAUCGCGGCUGUUCGUCUUCCAGCAUCGCAUUUGUUCAUUUUUUGGCGGUCGCAGCUGGAUCGUUCAACGGCGUUGCGGCUGGUUCGCGGUUCUUCUCCGGUGAAUUUGUGGGUCGCCGUUGGCUGGGUUGUUGUUCUCCGGCGAUUUCGGAUUGGUUUCGCCGGCGAUUUUGGGCUGGGUUUUUCUCCAGCCUCGGUUUGAGACUCGGCGCCGCUGUUUUCUUCAUCGUUUUGGGCUGGGUUUAAAACGCUGUAAAGGACGAAGCUUGUGGGUAGCAGGUCUUUCCGGCCGUGAGACUUUGCCCUUUAUUUUUCCAGCGUGCGGUUGGUUCUUCUUCAGAUCCGGCUUGUUCUUCUCUGAUUCUGGCUGGAUUCUCUCUGGCGAUUUUGUCUUGGUCUCGCCGGCGAUCAAGGCUGGUUCUUCUCCGGCCACGAUUUCCGACAAUUUGGGUUCUCACUUCUUGUUUUCUGGGUCACAUCUGGGUUGUCUUUCUGGCGGCGCAUCUGGGUUCUCUCUAGCGAUCGCAGCUGGGUUCUUUUCCGGAUCGCGGCCGUUCAUCUUUCUGGUGUCGCGGCUGGGUUCUUCUCUGGUCGUGGCUGGGUCGUCGUUUUCUUCCGGCAAGUUUAUGAAUCGCCUUUUUCUCCGGCAAUUUUGAUUUGGCUGACGGUUUCUGAGUUUGUGAAUCGCCGUUUUUGUCGGUUCCCCUGAAUGUAUCUAAAGGAACGGUUUUGACAAUCUUUUGAAGAAUCAAAGUAAGCCGUUGUUGGGGACUGUUACUUGAGCCAAGUUCCUUGAGCCAUCAUGUGUAUGAAUGUUGCGGCAUUGUAUUCAAAAUGACGACCGCAUCACUUGACCAUCCAAGGAGGCUAAAGAGAAGGCUGAGAGCUUUUGGAAGUCAAGCCUUCGCGGGCGUCUGCCGCGCCACCUUGGGUGCCCGCCAAUCAUCACAGUAGCAGGCCCUCCUCCACGGGGCCCCGCAGCUCUCGCGGGCCCUCGUUGCGUACUCCCGUGGGCACCCGCCAAAACCCCCAGUACGCCACCUCCGGAUGUAAGCACCCGCGGGCACCCGCCGAUCUGCAGAUAAUAGCUUUCCUGCUCCUGCUUUUGUGCUAAUCCUUGUUCCCUCUACAUUUUGUGUGGUCCAAAUGACUUAUAGGGUGGUUGGAGCUCGUGAUAGAGUGGAUGGAAGUAGGUUUUUGCCUAGAUAAGAGGCGGAAAGCUUGUAUGGAUCCAUAUCUCACAUUUGGCUAAGUUCUAGAGAGAGAAAUAGUGAGUUUGGAGGGUCUUGGGUGUUCUUGAGCUUAAGGUGCGAAAAUGGAGAGGGAUUCUUCAUCUUCUUCUUCAUUCUUUGUCUUCAUGGGUAACUAACUCCCUAUCUAGGGAGGUGAUGAAGCUCCAUUUUGUAAGCUUUGCUUUGUUUUGAUUUAUAUUUGGGGGUUUAAUGUAUAUAUGUGACCUUUUCAUGAACUAGAGCACUUUAUUUGAUGUAAAGAACUUCAAUGUCUAUUAAUGAUCAUUUUGAGUUAAA